CCUCUGUGCUGGCGACGCAUC
rnacentral:siRNA from 1 species